rnacentral:rRNA from 1 species
GACGAACGCUGGCGGCGUGCCUAAUACAUGCGAGUUGAGCGCUGAAGGUUGGUACUUGUACCAACUGGAUGAGCAGCGAACGGGUGAGUAACGCGUGGGGAAUCUGCCUUUGAGCGGGGGACAACAUUUGGAAACGAAUGCUAAUACCGCAUAAAAACUUUAAACACAAGUUUUAAGUUUGAAAGAUGCAAUUGCAUCACUCAAAGAUGAUCCCGCGUUGUAUUAGCUAGUUGGUGAGGUAAAGGCUCACCAAGGCGAUGAUACAUAGCCGACCUGAGAGGGUGAUCGGCCACAUUGGGACUGAGACACGGCCCAAACUCCUACGGGAGGCAGCAGUAGGGAAUCUUCGGCAAUGGACGAAAGUCUGACCGAGCAACGCCGCGUGAGUGAAGUAGGUUUUCGGAUCGUAAAACUCUGUUGGUAGAGAAGAACGUUGGUGAGAGUGGAAAGCUCAUCAAGUGACGGUAACUACCCAGAAAGGGACGGCUAACUACGUG